rnacentral:rRNA from 1 species
UACGAAGGGUGCAAACGUUGCUCGGAAUCAUUGGGCGUAAAGCGCACGUAGGCGGCCCGAUAAGUCGGAUGUGAAAUCCCUCGGCUCAACCGAGGACGUGCAUUCGAAACUGUCGGGCUCGAGUAUGGAAGAGGGUCGCGGAAUUCCCGGUGUAGAGGUGAAAUUCGUAGAUCUCGGGAGGAACACCAGUGGCGAAGGCGGGUCUCUGGGCAGUAACUGACGCUGAGGAGCGAAAGCGUGGGGAGCGAACAGG